AUGGCCGGAGGGUCCGUCGCCUGUCCACGCAUGAGGGGCGGGAGGAAAGUCCGGGCAACGCAGAGCACCAUAUUUGCUAACGGCAAGCUAUCGGUAACGGUAGAGUAAUGUGACAGAAAAUUACCGCCCGCCCCUCGGGGCGGGUAAGGGUGAAAAGGCGAGGUAAGAGCUCACCGGGCGCGACAGCGAUAUCGCGCGCCGCACAUCUUAUGGGUUGCAAGGUCAAGUAUACCGGCAUUCAAGGGCUGCUCGUCCAUUGCCGGGGGGUAGACUGCUGAAUCCUGAUUCGUCAGGCAGAUAAAUGACGGACGGCGCCCGCCAACUCCCCGCCCCUUGCGGGCGAAAGUGGCGGCGCCACAUAACCCGGCUUAUACUCCGACCAUGCUU
rnacentral:RNase_P_RNA from 1 species